ensembl:lncRNA RHOXF1P1 Rhox homeobox family member 1 pseudogene 1
UUCAGUCCUGAAGCCAGUGAGACCCUGAACCCACCAGAAGAAGCUCCGAAGAUGUCUGAACAUCAGAAGGAGCAAACUCCAGACACAUCACCUUUAAGAACUGUAACACUCACCGCAAGGGUCUGCGGCUUCAUUCUGGAAGUCAGUGAGACCAAGAACCCACCAAUUGCGAACAUAGUAGGAAGCGUCCGACCCGAAGUCCACGCGCCGGAACUCGGACCAGGAGCCAGAGGACCCCAGCGCAGAAUCCGCGGAGACGCACGGCUUCGUCGACCACGCUCCCAGGUGGCGUUCCAGCCCAGAUCCGGCCACGAAGACACCGGCGACCUCGGCCUGGGUUUCCUGUUCGAUGAGCUCCAGAAAGAAGACGAUGCGAAGGAUAUAGAGACUUCAGUGACUGAAGCUGGAGGAGACGAUGAGAAGAAAAUACGGACCAAACCCGAGCAGGGAGCAGGAGCAGGAAAAGAAAGUCACGUGUACGCGGGAGCUGCGGACCCCAUGAUCCACGAGAACCAGAAGGGCGGUGGUGGCCACCAGGAGCCCUGGCAGCAGCAGCCUGAGGAGUUGGCCCAGGACUCCUCCGCUGAGGAUCCGCAACCCCAAGAUCAGGAGCGUCUAUUCAGCCCCAGCACGUUCGGCGGGUUGCACCUGAAGGAGCUAGACAGCAUUUUCUGACCUUCUCAAUAUCCGGACAUGUUCGCUUGAAAGCAACUGGCAAUAUGCAUGGAUGUGAGUGAAGCUGAAGUGGAAGCCAGUAAGCCUGAUGAAAGCAAUUGGUCAGAGUAGCCACUCUGAAACCUGCCUCAGACCUUGGAUACUUUGUCCUACACAUUCUCCAAUUGGCCUGGUAACUUCACCGGAUGAAGAAAUCUAGGUUGUUGGUGUUUUUCUUUGAACACCUCUUCUUGCUCUUCGAUAGAGACAGUGUUGCCCAAGUUGGUCUUGAACUCCUGGACCCAACCAAUCCUCCUGCCUCAGCCUCCUGAGUACCUUGGAUUACAGGCGUGAGACAUGUGUACUUGUACCAGUUUAGGGGAUACAGAAUAAAUUUGGUUGCAUGUAUUUAAUGCAUAGUGUCAAGUCAGGGUAUUAGGGUAUCCCUCACCCAAGUAUAUUUUUGUUAAGUAUAUUCACCCUACUCUGCUAUCAGACAUUGAAUUUAUUCCUUGUAUCUUACCGUAUGUUUGCACCCUUCCACCGACUUCUCUUCAUCAUCCCCCCUCCCUCCACUCUUUCCAUUCUAUGUUAUCUAUUUUUCCACUCUCUACCUCCAUGUGUCCACAUUUUUUAGCUCCCACAUAUAAGUGAGAUCAUGUGAUACUUGUGUUUUUGUGCCUGGUUUAUUUCCCUUAAGGUAAUGACCUGCAGUUCCAUCCAUGUUGCUGCAAAUGGCAUGAUUUCAUUCUUUUUUGUGGUUGAAUACUAUUCCACUGUGGAAUAUAUGUACCACAUUUUCUUUAUCCAUUCAGCUGUUGAUGAGCACAAGUUGCUUCCGUAUCUUUGCUAUUGUGAAUAGUGCUGCAAUAAACAUGCGAAUGAAGGUA